UCAAAAUAUCAUAUCUUAACACAGUGCGCAAUGAAUGGAAUUAAGUGAUCUAUAGAUAAAAAUUGUAUGAAAAUUAUGCUUACACGCUAUUUUGCUUAUACACUUUGUAUUUGAAACUUUGCUGGAAGUAUUGCAUAUUUAACACUAUAAUUUUUAUGUCAAUAUUGGGUUUUGUACAUUUAAAAUAUUAAUUUGGAUGUAGUUAUCUGUGUACAUAAGGCAGAAAUAAGAUAAUAACCGAGGAGAAAAUAAUUGAUUUUUCAAGGAUGAUUAAGAUGAUAAUAAAUCAGAUCAAUGAACGUGACACGGAACUCUUUUUAGUGGGAUUGUAUAUUUGAAGGUCCCAUUACUCGAGUCCUGUGAUAUGUUGUUGGUGAUCAACUGGUGUCUAAUGGUGAUUUACAAGAAAAAGCAGUUUUGCACUUUGAUCUGUAUUAAUAGCCAUUACACGCCUUGUAUUACAUAUGUGCACGCAUUAGAACCAUAGUAGUCUUUACCAGUGCGACAUGACAAUGAACUUCAAUACUGCUAUCUUUUUAGGACCAUAUAGGAUCCUUCAACAAAAGAAUUAUUGAAGCAUAAGAUGAUGUGAUGUGAUGUACGUUAGUGUAGACUAUUCCAAUUACGCAGUUAAAAUACUACGAUCUGCCAGAGAGUAUAACGGAAGGAUCUAUUAUUGAAGAAUAAGAUGAUGCGGUGUGAUCUACGUUAGUAUGAUUAGAAAUAAAUUUUCACAUAUUUAUAUUAAUCAUUAAUGCAUGCAUGGAAUGAAUAAAUGUUUGUAAUUAAUAAAGUAAUUCCAUAUGAAUUGUAUGUAUUCGUUCUUAUUGCCUCCUUUCCCUUUCAUUUCUUCUAUCAAUUAAAUAACCAUCUCAUUAUUAUAACAUUUUUUUGGAUAUAUAAACUUUAAGUAAUCAAGUAUUUAUUUAAAGAUAGAAGAAGAUAAUGAGAACUGUACCUUAUACUAUAUAAUACAGAAAAAGUGCAAAUAAGAAAUUGCAUUCUUACCAUUUGUCCAAGCAUUACAAUAGAAACUGUACAUCUUUUAUAUAUUAUGUUUAUUCUGGAUGUGUAGAACAUUAAGAAUUACUAUUAAGGGGCUAGACUAGUUUCUCGGGUAUGAAAGGAAGGUGAUUUUCCAGGGCCAAAAAAAAAGACUAAGCAGACAAAUAUUUUCAAGUUUUAAGGAUAUAUUUAGACACUUUUAACAAGUAAGUACAAAAAAUUUCACGCAAAAAUAU